rnacentral:rRNA from 1 species
AUGUCUUUCUCCAAGAUCUUUCAAAUUCUUUUCGUCAUUGGUUCAACUUUUCUAAUUUUCAUUACGGAGUGCCUCAACAAUUCAUGGUGGUGUUUCUCGUCGUCAUUCUCGGAUUUUGAAGACCGAAGAAGAGUUUCCCUUAAAUCUUGGUCCGUUCUCUUGAAGAUUCAUGAUUCUAACUUGUUGCCAUCUUCUCAAAUUGUUUCCAAUCACGCAAUUCUUUUCUUACCCAUCCGGAGCAUUUCAGAGUUGUUUUCAUUUCUUGAUCAUCCAAAGGCCAUCAUUUCAAAAGAUUUCUUCGUUCUAAGUUUUCAGCUUCGUUCUCCAAUUCUAAAUUGA